rnacentral:rRNA from 1 species
UACAGAGGUGGCAAGCGUUGUUCGGAAUUAUUGGGCGUAAAGAGCUCGUAGGCGGUCUGUCGCGUCUGCUGUGAAAACUCGGGGCUUAACCCCGGGCCUGCAGUGGGUACGGGCAGACUAGAGCGCGGUAGGGGAGACUGGAAUUCCUGGUGUAGCGGUGAAAUGCGCAGAUAUCGGGAGGAACACCAAUGGCGAAGGCAGCUCGCUGGGACGGUACUGACGCUGAGACGCGAAAGCGUGGGGAGCAAACAGG